UUUUCUGUAAAAAGGAUAAGAAUCAACUCCUGUUUUUGGGAGCUAAGAAAAGUGAAAAAGCAAAUGGUAAUACCAUCUUUGGGUAGAGGGGACAGGCAUCUUUGCUCAAAUGAUUUGCUGGCCAAAGCAAACAUAGGGCAUCAAAUAUGGUUUUUUGUACAAUAGUUAGCAGAGACUCUCAUCACAAUCACUAUAGCACAAUUAAAAGUCUCUAGAUCCCAAUUUUCACACAAAGCACAUGCAAACUAUUCAUGUUUUAUAAUAUGUUUUAGGGGGCAAAUCUAGAAUAACUGCUGUAUCUUUAAUAGUGAAACUUAAAAAUUAAGUUUAGUUCAUUUUAAUUUUUGAAAUUCCACCCUAGCUGAGAGGUGUGGCAGCCAAGGGUAUAAUCCAGCUGUGAGUAGGGGGCAUUCAAUCACUGGCUCUUUUUAUGUAAAGUAUGUAAUUACCAGGUUGAAGCAGAAGGUAGAAAGACUUAAGGAAUAUCUUCCUACUUUCCGUCUUUUCACCUCUAUCCAGAGAAUUUCUAUGAAAUGCAGGAAAUGACCCCAAAACAAAACAAGAUUGCACAGAAUUCUGAGAAGUCAGAGGUCAUGAAAGAUAGCCAAGAGACACUGGUGAAUGAACAACCGUGAUGUACAAGGCAAAGCAGAAAAGAAAGCCAGCAUUGCUUUGACAGGUUUCUUUCCAGAGAAGGAAAAUCUGGUCCCUCUGAAGAAACAGCAGCACAUUCUGAAUGAUGAGACAAGAAUGCAGAGACAGGGCUGGACAGAGCCCUCAGUCAUAAAACAGACAGAUGGAAUUGGGCAGAGGGAGGAGGAGGAAGAACAACUCCUACAUCCUUGGAACUACACAACAGAAUGAAGCCCGUGUUUUCCCCCACAGCCUCUUUCCAGACCUGUGGGCCAACAAGCACAGUAGAGAGUGCCUCAAGGGCAAAGACAGGGUCUUAAGAGUGGCCAGCCCACGGCAGCACCUGACCAAGCUUAUUCAAUGAAUAGAUGAGAACCAUAAGGAGGAUCCAACAAUGUUAGCAGUGGCAAGGAAGCUUGUGACUAGUUCUUAGACUUGGAAACUGAGGCUUCUUCUGAACAAAUUGGGAAAUCAUCACCAUGAUAAAUGGUGCAAUGGAUACCGAGAUGAAUGAGGCAAGAUGCGUGAACUCUAGCGGCCUUGGAAGAAGACACAGCCAAAGCUUGCAUUUUGAAGUGGUAAAGAUGAACCAACUGUGAGUGAGCUCUGAAGCCUCUGAGAAAGGAGCUGCCUGCCUGGGGGAUCCCAUCCUGGUAUGUGUUUCAAGAUGCAGAUGACGCCACACCUUCUGACAGCUGUGGCUUCAAAAAUGUUCCUUUUCACAGUUUUACAUUCUCCCCACCCCAGUGGCUGGAGAGUGAACAUUAUUAUGCCUUCUGAUCAGUGUUUUUAAAGAAGCCUCCAGGUGACUCAGAUGAAGUUGGGCAGUGUGCUUACAGUUCUUGCCAGUGAUGAAAAGUACAAACAGAGCUUUCUCUGAACCUCAGGGCCAAGGAAAAUUAAGUGCAGAAGGACACGUGGCCCUUCACAGUACACAUGAGACAGACAAGCCACCACCUCAGAAAGACAGUUUUAAACAGAUGUGGGGACUCUUCUUAUCAGAACAUCCCUCAGUCCCUCCAUGUAGAAAUCUGCUAUCGGCCACAGGCAGGCCCCAACCUGCUAUGGGGAUGGGUCUGAAUUGUUUCUGUAAUUGCUAUAAACAUGUAAGCUAGAUAAACAAGGUGCAUUACUUUGGAAAGUUUCCCAGCCAGGAUAAAUUCCCAAGCAGAAAUAAGCAUAUCAAAAUCUUUGAUCUCAUUUUACAAAAUACGACUAACUUCACACAGUUUUCAACACUUUAUAUGUGUCAUCUUUGAAUAAGAUACGCAUUAGAAAUAUGAAUGAUCCAGCUUCAGUCCAGCUACUUUAGCCAUCUUUUUCUUGGGUCACAGACGUGCCCCAUUUUCCUACGUGGCUCCUUUUGUAAAGCCCUCUCUCUUUUGUGGGCUGUUCAAACAGCCCAAGUUCAAACACUGGGGCCAGGCAUUAAAGUAAAAGAAAUCUGAAAUAAUUAGGCCUGGAAAACGAGGUGCCAAAAGCCCCAGAUAUCUUUGGAGUAUUAUUUCAGAAAACAGGAAACGCAGGUUUUCUUUUGGGCUCUGACAUUUCAAGUUUCUCCAUCAUUUUUACCAUCUGUAAAGUGUUGACUGUUCCAACCCCUCCCAUCUAUAUCUCAGGCACAUUAAGAAUGAUUCCAAUUAAUUGUAAAUGAGUGC
rnacentral:lncRNA from 10 species